GAUGAACGCGGCGGCGUGCUUAACACAUGCAAGUCGAGCGGGCAAUUUGCUCAACACUGAUUACUUUAUUAAAAGGAAGAAUACAAUGGCUGACGCCAGAGUAUUCAUGAGUUUUUUCCUUAGUAUCAAAUAGGAAAACUCAUGUACGCAUUCCUUGUGAUUAACACAUAGAGUAAUGAGAGUUGAGCAAAUUGCUAGCGGCGGACGGGUGCGUAACACGUGGGUAACCUGCCCUUAUCACCGGGAUAACACACUGAAAAGUGUGCUAAUACCGGAUAACAUCAACUUAUGGCAUCAUAAGAUGAUCAAAGCGUUAGCGGAUAAGGAUGGGCCCGCGUCUGAUUAGCUAGUUGGUAGGGUAACGGCCUACCAAGGCAACGAUCAGUAGCCGACCUGAGAGGGUGAUCGGCCACACUGGAACUGAGACACGGUCCAGACUCCUACGGGAGGCAGCAGUGGGGAAUAUUGCACAAUGGGCGAAAGCCUGAUGCAGCAACGCCGCGUGAGCGAUGAAGGCCUUCGGGUCGUAAAGCUCUGUCCUAUGGGAAGAUAAUGACGGUACCCUAGGAGAGGCCC
rnacentral:rRNA from 1 species